rnacentral:miRNA from 1 species
GAGGAUGAGGAGGAGGAAAAGAAGAAGAAGAAGAAGAAGAAGAAGAAGAAGAAGAAGAAGAAGAACUUCUUCUUCUUCUUCUUCUUCUUCUUCUUCUUCUUCUUUUUCCUCUCUCUCUCUCUCUCUC